UGGAAAAUGGGUGAAAAUGUGGAUUUUUGAUGCAUGUAUCAAAAAUCCUCAUGUUCCUGUUGCUUAUAGAAGAGGUUUUGGGAGGAAUUGGGUGGAAAAUGGGUGAAAAUGUGGCUUUUUGGUACAUGUACCCCAAAUCCUCAUGAUCAUGAUGAUUGUUGAAGGGUUCUGGAGAGGAACUGGGUGGAAAAAUGGGUGAAAAUGUGGAUUUUUGGUACAUGCACCAAAAAUCCUUGUGAUCCUGUUGCUUGCAGAAGGGUUUUGUGGAGGAAUUGGGUGGAAAAUGGGUGAAAAUGUGGCUUUUUGGUGCAUGUACCCAAAAUCCUCAUGACCAUGGUGCUUGUUGAAGGGUUUUGGUCAAGGAUUGGUUGGAAAAUGGGUGAAAAUGUGGCUUUUUGAUGCAUGUAUCAAAAAUUGUCAUGGUCCUGUUGAUUACAGAAGAGGUUUUGGGAGGAAUUGGGUGGAAAAUGAGUGAAAAUGUGGAUUUUUGGUGCAUGUACCCCAAAUCCUCAUGACCAUGGUGCUUGUUGAAGGGUUUUGGUCAAGGAUUGGGUGGAAAAUGGGUGAAAACGUGGGGUUUUGGUGCAUGUACCAAAAAUCCCCAUGAUCCCAUUGCUCGUUGUAGGGUUUUGUGGAUGAAUUGGGUGGAAAAUGGGUGAAAAUGUGGCUUUUUGGUACAUGUACCCAAAAUCCUCAUGACCAUGGUGCUUGUUGAAGGGUUUUGGUCAAGGAUUGGUUGGAAAAUGGGUGAAAAUGUGGCUUUUUGAUGCAUGUACCCCAAAUCCUCAUGACCAUGGUGCUUGUUGGAGGGUUUUGGUCAAGGAUUGGGUGGAAAAUAGGUGAAAACAUGGGGUUUUGAUGCAUGUACCAAAAAUCCCCAUGAUCCCAUUGCUCGUUGUAGGGUUUUGUGGAUGAAUUGGGUGGAAAAUGGGUAAAAACACAACUUUUUGGUGCUGACCCCCAUCCCCUUUUUUUGGUCAGUUUCCCCAGAAUGCAUCAUGGUGGCCCUGGGCGAGGAGACGGAGCUGGAGGUGGACGAAGACGUCUCCGACCUCUGGACCGCCGUGGCCUUCGUCAUCCUCUUCCUCCUCAGCCUCUGCUACAGCACCGGCGUCACCCUCUUCAAGGUCCUCUGAUCGCUGGAGGUCUUCACCCCUCCGUUGUCCCAGGGGUUGGACCAAAAUUUUUUGUGCUUUUCCCAAAAAUGCACAGAAUAAAACGAUUUUCAGACUGUUUUCACGGGCUUCAAGAACCCCUUUUUCCACCCCAAAAUGGAGCCGCGUUGCCUCAGUGAUCUCCAGGAGGCUUCGAGAGACUCUUUUUUCCCCCCAAAUGAAGCCAUGUUGUGUUGGUGCGUCACACCCUAACUUCCAUAAAUCUCCAAAAACCCCUUUUCCCCCAAAAAACAGCCUUAUUGUGUUGGUGCUUCCUAUUCAGUUUCCAUCGGGUUAACAAAAAAGACUAUUUUUUCCCCAAAAUGAAGCCUCAUCGUGUUGCUUCAUCUCAGCCUAAUCUUCAUUGAGCCUCAAGAAAUCCAUUUUUUCCCCCAAAAAAAGCACUGUUGUGUUAUCGCAUCCCAAUGUCCAUCACGUUGCCAAAAACCCAUUUUUCCCCCCAAAAAAUGAAGCCACUUUGUGUUGAUCUUAUCCUAACCACAAAGCUUCAAAAAAAAACAUUUUUUCCCUUUUUUUUUUCCCCAUUUUCCUCCCUUUUCCCCCCAUUUUCCUCCCCAGCCCUACACCCCUCCGUGGCUCGAUUGCGUGCCGGGGAGCCAAAAUUUCAUUUUUUUGACCAAAAACCCCAAAAUCCUGUUUACGACAAAAGCCGUUUUCAUUUCUCCUCUUUCCUCCCCGCCGUGGUUUCUUGGGCUGCCGCCUGAGUCAUUCGGGGAGCCGAAACUGGUUGUUUUCCCCCCAAAAAAAGCAGCGCCAAACAUCUGGAUUUCGGCGUCACCCCGGCCAGAUGUGUCCUGUUUACCCAAACCGCGCCUCUCCGUCUGAGUCACCGCACCCAAAAUAGCCGUUUCCUGCCCCAAAACCACCCCCGGCGCCGUUCCCACGGACGGGCGCGGUGCAUGAUGGGAAAAACAUGGCGGGAGCGAGGAGAAACGCGGAUUUUUUGUUGAAAAUAUGGAAAUGGAGAAACAAAUAGUGGAAAUUUGUUAAUAAAGUGGGAUUUUAAUGUUUUUUGGGCAUUUUCUGGUGUUUUUCGCCCCGUUUUGUGGCUUGUCCUCCCUCCAAGGCCGUUGGCCAAUGGGAAGGAGGGGACGGAGUGGGCAGGGGCUGGGAUCUGACGUAGAGGAUGAGGAGGAAGAGCGUGAUGAAGGCUCCUCCUCCGCCCCAUUUCACGAAGCUCGGCCCACCGCCAUCCCAGAGAUCCGUGGGGCAGGGGACGCCGUCAUUAACCCAGCUAAUUAACACCUAACGACC
rnacentral:lncRNA from 1 species